CGGAGUGAACGCACCACUGGUGUUCGGGUUGUCAUGCCAAUGGCAUUGCCCGGUAGCUAAGUGCGGAAGAGAUAACCGCUGAAAGCAUCUAAGCGGGAAACUUGCCUCGAGAUGAGUCUUCCCUGUCGCUUUAAGCGACCUAAAGGAACGUUUAAGACUAAGACGUUGAUAGGCUGGGUGUGUAAGCGUAGCGAUACGUUGAGCUAACCAGUACUAAUGAACCGUGAGGCUUAACCUGACAACACCGAAAGUGUUUUG
rnacentral:rRNA from 1 species